rnacentral:misc_RNA from 1 species
UAAGCCUGCUCAAGACGGGUCAAUAUGGACCUAAGGGUCUGCACUGGACGGUUUUCAGACAAAAACCCAGCCAUUCUCCACACUCCUAAAAAGAAUUCUCUAUCAAGGUCAGCUUCUGUGAACCCAUAAAGUGCUGGGUCUAAAUCCUCUGGAAUUUCUCUUUCCUCCAACCCCAAUGGGUCCAACUUGGCUUUCAUAUGGCCAUUAACUUGGUAGGCCCUCACAAACAACAGUAAGCGCAUACUCUCCUGAAUCGUCUGGCCUGAAAUACCAGGGGAUGUGGCAGCCUGACCCACAAAAUUCCUAAAGAAAUUGUCCCAUGACUCAUCCACACUACUUGGGUCAGCUUCCCAAGCUCGUUGUAGCUCCUCCAAAUAAACAC